rnacentral:misc_RNA from 1 species
UCCGGUUUGGCACCGGCAGUAUCCAAUGAGUCCCCGGCAUUACCCGCUGGCAACAUUGGACAGGGGUUGCGCUCGUUGCGCCACUUAAGGCAACACCUCACGGCACGAGCUGACGACAGCCAUGCAGCGUCUGUGCACGCUCCCUUGCGGGUCAUCCCUGUUUCCAGGUCUUACCACGUGCAUGUCAAGCCCAGGUAAGGUUCUUCGCGUUACAUCGAAUUAAGCCACAUGCUCCGCCGCUUGUGCGGGUCCCCGUCAAUUCCUUUGAGUUUUAGCCUUGCGGCCGUACUCCCCAGGCGGGGUGCUUAAUGCGUUAGCUGCGGCACAGAAUCCGUCGAUAGGACCCCACACCUAGCACCCAUCGUUUACGGCUGGGACUAC